rnacentral:tRNA from 1 species
GGAAGGGUACCGAAGUGGUUAUAACGGCCCUGUUUCGAAAACAGGUGUUCGGGCAACCGAACCGUGGGUUCGAAUCCCACCCCUUCCG